UACGUAGGGGGCAAGCGUUGUCCGGAUUCAUUGGGCGUAAAGAGCGUGUAGGCGGCCAGGUAGGUCGGUUGUGAAAACUGGAGGCUCAACCUUCAGAGGUCGACCGAAACCAUCUGGCUAGAGUCCGGGAGAGGAGAGUGGAAUUCCUGGUGUAGCGGUGAAAUUCGUAGAUAUCGGGAGGAACACCGGUGGCGAAGGCGGCGACCUGGGUCGAUACUGACGCUGAGGUGCGAAAGCGUGGGGAGCAAACAGG
rnacentral:rRNA from 1 species